rnacentral:lncRNA from 1 species
GAUUUCGAGGAGUAUCUCAACUUGCAAUCGGCGACGUUCGCGCAGCUGUACCGCUGCUUGCCGAUCUCGCUUCUCAAGAAGGAGAACGCCGACGAUGGCAACAGGGUCUUCAUGCCUGUAUCUGCUCUUGAUCGGCUCGGGUAUCUGCACAUCGAGUACCCGAUGCAGUUUCAGAUUCAGAACGCCACCACGCUGCAGACCUCGUACUGCGGCGUGCUCGAGUUCACCGCCGACGAGGGCUUCAUCCACAUCCCGACCAUGAUGAUGGAGCACUUGGGCCUGCGAGAGAACGAUCUCGUGCUGCUGCGAAGCACGUCGAUCCCCAAGGCCACCUUCAUCAAGCUGCAGCCUCACACCUCUGACUUCCACAAGCUUUCUGAACCAAGAUACCUGUUCUACUACCUCGACGUCGUGGAGACGAGGCCGGCCGACGCUGUCUGCGUCAUCGAGACCGACUGCGAGGUCGAGUUCGACCAGGCCCUCGACCAAGCGGAGCCCGCCGCCGCCGCCGCCAUGCAGGUCGACGGCGUCGGCGCCGGCGAGCCGGAGCCGGCCCGGUUCACCGGCUUCAGGAUGCGGAUGGACGGCAAGCCGGUGGAGGAGGAGAAGAAGACGAUGCCGCCGCCGGCGACGGCGGCGGCGCCGCCCAAAAGGGGGCUUCGGUUUGGCUCGUCGGCUCCUGCCGCCGGUGGUGGCGUCAAGGAGGCCAAGUCCGGCGAGAAAGACGAUGGGAAUCGGUUCACCGGCAAGAAGUAUUCUCUGCAGUUUUAA